CCCGGCCUGUGGUACAGAUCUAUUUAUGCACGACAUCUUGAGUAAAGCAGUUCAUAUUUAAAGCGUUAUCAUUGAUAAUUCUUCACUGACGAAUUUCCUUCAAUAAGUGCCUCCAUAAGUAAAGAUUGAUAACCGGCUAUAACACGCCCGUGGUGGCAAAUUUUUUAAACAAAGGAAAUAAUAAAUGUCUAGUCAAAAUCAUAAAGGUCAAGUAAAGUGGUUCAAUGAAUCUAAAGGUUUUGGUUUUAUCACUCCAGAAGACGGCAGCAAAGAUGUAUUUGUACACUUCUCUGCCAUCCAAGAUAACGGUUUUAAAACCUUGGCAGAAGGACAGAAUGUAAGCUUUUCUAUAGAAAACGGUGCUAAAGGCCCGUCUGCAGCGAACGUUACUCCCCUCUAGUUCUUUCUUCACUACCGCGCCCUAUGUUCGCUUCCUCGUCGUUAGGAAGCCGCUGGGCGCGGUUUU
rnacentral:sRNA from 1 species